GAGAACAGUCUGGAAGACAAUGACAGAGUGCUUGCCUGGGGAGUCGGAGGAGCUCCGGUUAUGUCCAAGCCGAACCCCUGGAGCCUCUGGACUGCCUGGCACUGAGGGAGCGGGAACUGGACGGUGGGCAUGUGGCCGGGAGGAGCCUUCCAACCAGAAGAAACUAAGUUUUCAAGUUUCCUGCUGUGUCAUCUCAACUGGAAAGUGUCGUCCCCCAGGAAGUCUCCUGCCCUCCCUCUCUGCACAGGGAGCCGCUUCCCACUCUGUCCUUCGAUGGACACGCUGAUGCAGCUGGGAAUGAGCUUGGAAACGCUAACUGACCAGAGUGAUUUCUGGGCCCUGAGUGCAUUACAGAUGGAGAAAGCUUCUGAAUUCUCUAUGGAACUCCAGGCCUGACCUUGGGAUGGGAGACGGGCGGCUGGGCGCACAAGGAAAGAGGCCUCGCCUUGCGCCACGGAGGAGGUGCUACCCCGAGCACUGUCUGGGGAGGAUUUCAAGGCUGUGCCCAGGCCACCCCUGAUGGAUGCAUCAGUCACUUCAGCCAUGGUGCCGGCAGGGAGCCCAAGCGCGGGAGCAUCCUCUGUCGUCCUCGCAGCCGGGACCCUCUCAUUUCCUGUCUGCACAGCAGCCCCGGCGUGUUCCUCUGUGAAAGCCAGGAGCACGGGGGUGACGCCUUCUGGGCCUGCCACUGUUCCUUCAGAAGCGACCUUUGACCUCCCCAUCAGCCUGUGCUGCUAGGUCUGGGGUCAUUUUCUGCUCAGAUAUCUCCUCUCCCUGACGAUCGAUUCCCCCUGGAGGGGUGAGCCACUGUCGGGAGGGGAGACGGAGCUGAGCAUGCAAGGAAGGGCAACCCCAGCCCAGAUCCUGGAGGGCUUUGGGCUUCCAGGUAGAAGCCGGUCUUCGCGUCAGCAAACCAAGAAAAUGCCUCCCUGAAAUGGUCUCCAGGUCCCCCCAAACACCUGCCUCCCCCUCCAGCCUUCUCCACUGAUGCCUGCAGCUGCAUAAGUAGUGUUUCAUUGCACCCCAGCAGGAGCUGGUACCGGUUCUUCCCUUGCCUCAUGCUGGGGUAGAUUUUAUUUAGGAUUGGGAGCAGGGAAAGGAGCUAGAGAAAGGAAGGGUUCCAGGAAGCUGGGAAGGGAGAUGUCAGGUGGGGUGAUGGGAAAGGAGGCCAAGGACCACCUUUGCCUGUAUGGUGGGCUGAACUGUGUCCCCACAAAAGAUAGGGCGUCCUAACCCCAGAUACCUGUGAAUGUGACCUUAUUUGGGAAUAGAGUUUUUGCAAAUGGAAUCAAGUCAUGAUGACGUCAUUAGCAUGAGCCUUAAUUUAAUAGGAUUGAUGUCCUUCUAAGAAGAGAAGACAGGGACACACAGGAGAAAGCCAUGUGAUGAAGCAGGCAGGAGCUGGAGCGACACUACCACAGGCCAAGGAACAUUGGGACCAGAAGAGGCGAGGAGGGGCCGUUCCCUAGAGGCUUUGGAGAGAGCAUGGCUCAUCAACACCUUGACUUCAGACUGGUAGCCCCCAAACGGUGACAGAAUAAUUGUCUAUUGUUUUAAGCCCCCUGGCUUAUAGUACGUUGUAAAGGCAGCCCUAGGAAGCCCUAAGCCAGUUUCACUCAUUAUGAUAAAUAUCAUAGAUGAUGACUGUCAUAUAUUGGAUGUGCUGGAGAUCUUCACAGCCACAGAAUAAACUGCAGGCCAAAAAAAGAACAUUCAUAUGAGGUCCCCAGCAGGGGCUGGCUGUGCAAGUCAGAGACUGCAGAACCAGGUAGGCAGACAAAGCGAAAUUGCCUGGAGCUGGACACAUAUGUGCACCACUGGGAAAUAAAUAGACUUGCGGUGGAAAUGACCAACGUGGAUGGCCAGGGAAAUGCCAGCAGCAAUAAAAGAAAAGAGUGCACAAGGCCUGUAAAUCAGCAGAUGCGAGAGCUCCCGAAAAGUAGCGAAGUCUGAAAUAAAAGGCAGGCUCAGGCUGGUGGUCCAAGAAGUUAAAGCAGGAAAUGAGAGCGUGGGCACUGUGUGUGCUGGGCUCCCAAAGACUGCAGGGAGUGGCCAGAUGUCUCCAGAGGCAGCGUCAUGUGGAGCAAAGGGGACCUGAGGAGUGUCAGCAUCCUCAGUCACCUCCUCCUUUGAACCAGCUGUUCGGAAUCUGGUCUCUUACUUAGGAUAAUUGUAGGAACUGACUUUUUUUUUUUUUCUUUUCUCACCUAUUGGCUGACUGAAAGAACCGACUUUUAAAUGAGCACCUCCCUCAUUAGAAUUGCUCAAAUGACAACAGCUGCAGCGGUGGGAGCAGCAGCAAGUUUGAAAAUCCAACAGUCUGCAUUCCACAGUGACAGUAUUCUUGGUCACCUCGGAGACAUGGCAGCCGGGAGCCACGGCUCUCAUUGCUCGGGGUUGGUUGGGUUACCAGCCCUAGGGCUACAGAAUGUAUCUAAAAGAGAGGCUUGGCUGGCAGUUUAAGAGGGGUGCAGGACAGCAGGAUGGGGUUCAUGAGGCAAGAGUGGAUGGAGCCUGUGGCCCAGUUGGGAUGAGAUGGGACAGUUCCAAUGGGCAGGACAAACCCCAGCCACCGUCUCAGGGUAUUUGACAGGAGGUAAACAGCAGACAAAAUCCUGGAGCACAGGGGGGCAGGGCUGUCUCGUUCCCAUGAAUGGCAACAUUGGAGGACUGACCCCCAAGAGCGUGGUUUUGUCGUCAGCCUCAAAGGCAUGGCUUUCUCUCUGGCGUUGGCAGCAGCCGCUCAGCACCAUAGCUAGGGAGCAGCGGCCUAGAUCCCUCACAUUUAUUUCACUUUGACUCUUUUGACCAAAGCACCACUGUUUAAGGCCUCAUUUUUCUUCUCCCAUGUGGAAAAUCAUAUUGCUUAAAUUUAAAAAUGAAGAUAGAUAGAUGGAUGAAAAAAUCCCCAUAGAGCAAAAUUCUGCCUGUGACAAAAAGGUCUCCACGUCUGAGGUGACAGUCAACUUCAAGUGACGCCAAGAACAUCAAAAUCUCUCUAUAAAAAAAGAAUAGGAAGCAAUGGGGCUCGUGAAAAUGCCACAUCAAGAAAAGUCAACAAAUACAUACUUAGUGGUAACUAUGGUUGCAGAGAAAGAGAAAACUUAAAACAAUAUGAACAUAUGUGGUCAUAUAGACUGAAAACCCACCGUGUCAUAAAACCCCAGGACACAGAACGCAUCAGCGUAGACAGCAGCUGUACAGACAAUGCUGGGGCGGUUGUGGAGUGGGAUUAGAAGACAGGAGGCGCCAUCGAGUCAGCUCCAAGGCCAUUAGCCUUGUGACGCCAGCAAAAUGUGUGAGUGGGGAGCCUCUACGUUCUCUCCUGUGAAAUGGGGAUGACAGUACUUCCUUGUAGGGUUGUGGUAACGAAGUUAUUCAGCACAGAGCUUGGCAUGUGGUCAUAACAAGGAGUGGCGGAUAAUGAUAAUAUGGUAACAGUAGGCAUCAUUGUGAGAAGGGACAGAGACUCAAUGUGAAAAGUAUAGAAAGGGCUCUUACAAAUCUCCAAGCACAUAAAAGUCCCUAAAAGACAAAUGGCGAAGGGUUCACAGUUCACAGAAAUGGAAAAAAAGAAAUGAAUGAAUUCAAUGAAUAUUAGGGGAAGAAAACCGUUACUAAUUAGUGACGAAGCACAAAGUAAUGCAAGUAUCCAACACCAUUUUGACAGCACUUGAGAAAUGAUCGAGAAUUCAGAAACGCGGUAAAAACUGACGCUGGUCCCGACAGUUAAGUAGGAAUAUCCAGGAGUUCCUGACGGUAGUGCAAAUGUGUUUGAUUACUUUGGAAGACCAUUUGGUAAUUCUCAUCAAAAGCCAGAAUACGCUACACUUGGAUCUCAUCAUUCUCUUCCUGAGAAUGAAAUAAUUCAAAUUAAGAGAAAGCUAUACUUAUAAUGAGACAUGUAGUUAGAAUUAUGAGAAUAAAAAUAGGUUAGCAUCCCCUAAUACAGAAAUGGUUACUUUGUCAUAAGAAUACUAAUUCUAUAACAUAUUACAUGGUGAUUAAAAUGAGAGUGUAUUUAGAAUAAUGUUAAGUCUUAACAUUAUUUUAUAAUAUAAUUUAUUGAAAUAAUUAAUUACGGAUAUUUUUAAAAUAUGUAGCUAAAGAUGAGAUGAAGCUAUCAGUUAAUGCAAUUUAUCUGAUGUAGGUAGAGGAACUUAGAUACACCUAUGUAUGUUAUUUUAUUAAUAAGUACUUUAAAUGACACAUAACUAAAUUAUCUUAAUUUCUCUGUAUCACCUGUUAUGAAUACACGACUCCCCAUGAUUCAUUUUGUACUGACCUAUACGAGGGUAUACAAAUCUAAAUCAGGCACUGAAUUAAGGCACAAGCUAGCUGUGUCCUCCCUGGAACAUUUCCUGACUCAAUUUAGAAAUAUCAGCUGAGCGUGUAGAGUUGUCUCUUUGAGGAAAGCUUUAUUCUCUCAAGACUACUUGGCUCCCUGAUACUCUCUUUAAUGUUAUUAUAAGAACGCUGAUCUUUUAAUCCGCUAAUUCACUCUCUAUUAUUCUUAUAUCUCAAAACAGCUUCAAAAGUCACUGGAUUUUUCAAUGAGAAGGAGAAGUUAGGCAGCUACCAAAUAGCUGAAAGAAUAUUAAAUCUGAUGGAUCCAGCCAAAUAAAAAUGUUCAUUCAUAGGAUCUGUGGUUGUUGAGGAAUCUUCUAAGUUUCAUAAAUGGCAAAAACUCUUUCUCAGACUUACAGAUCAGACCUCACAUAUGCAUGAGAAGAGAAGCUAUUUUUGUCUCUGGGUUCCAGUUACACAGCCACAGCCUGGAAGCUUUGUUCUCAGAAUUCAUGCUGUCAUCAAAAGGACUCAAUACAAACACUGCAGCCAGCCUGCCAUGGCUUAGCUGUGACCGCAGCUGCAAACUCUUCUGUCAUGUGAAAACUUUUGGCUUUUUCCGGGUGUGGAAUGCCUGUUGGUCCCAGCUCCGCCUGCCUUUCCUCCUUCUGGAAUCGUGUCCAUCCUUUCAGUCAACUCAGUUUGUCCGCAUCUUCCAGGCCUCAUACCUCCGCCUGAUCUGCAUGGCAGUGGUGGGCUUGCUCUUUGUGCUAUUACACUGACUGUGAUCGUGUUUAGUGAGUCAGCUUCUACAAAGUUGACCUGCACCUGUGUGAUGUCUCUCCCUAGCUGGAUGCAGCUUCUCCAUGGGCUAAGUUCAUCAUGUUAACAGUGCCUGCCCCACAGGCCCUCAGGGGAUCUUAGUGGGUGGUCUAUGGAGAGACUUUAGUGGGUAUAUGAAUCCCCAAAAUUGUAGGCAAAGUUUGUGUAUGCUGUGGCCUAUCGACAGCGGGGACUCUGCCGCUGAUUUCUCCUAAGAAGCCUCCUGGGGGUUUGAGCGAAUCGUGGUGGUCUCCUUCCCUCUGGAGUGAUUAGUUUUGGCUUUGGCUCAACAUGGUGCAGACCCAUGGGAUCCAAAGGGAAGUUGGCCGGGCAUUUCUGGGAAGGAUGUCUCUUCUUCUGAUUUCUGAGUGAGGGUAGGAAGCCCUCUUCUUCAUCAGACGCCAUGGCUCUUACACGAAUGAUGCCUAGAGCAGACACAGCCCUUCCAGGACCAGAGGCCAAGGCUGACAAUGGGACAAGAGGGCGGAGGAAGAAGUGGGGAGCACCUAAGCCUUCCUCUGACCAAGCACUGUCCUAACCAAUUCUGAUUGGUUCACUUCUAGUUACAUGAUAUAAUAAACGUCCUAUUUCUUAAGGCACUUUUAACAUGAGUGCAGCAUUUUAGAGUUUCAUCAGGUGAUCCACUGGAUCUGAGUCUCUGCUCAGGCUUAAGGAUGCCCAUAAAAGGUGCCCAAUUAAAUGUUGAUUGGUUGAUUGGCACACAGAGAAUCGCUGGAAGUGCCGCUGAGUCAUCCAGGUGCUAAGAGAGCUUGCCAGGCCUGUCUAGAGGAGGUUGGCCAACUGGAGUGUGUUGUUCUCCCACUCAAGUCCACUGCCCAGUGCUGCCAGGUGUGGGAGAGCAACUCAGAGAGGGCUGGAUGUUAGACCAAGCAAGGUCUUGAGAGUGUCACGCUCAGGGAGAUGCCCAAGAGGGGACCAGCUGGCUGUUUGUGUGGGUGUUUCCUCACUGGGUAAACAGGAGAGAAUCCUCCUUAUCAAGGGCCUGUAGAGUAGAUGGACUUAAGCUUUUGCACCCACUCUGGCUGAGCUGUAGUGUUAAGAAGGAUUCUGAAGCUGUGUCCAUAUUUAACUGGAAACUGUGCCGUGAUUAUUAGUUAAGUGUCCCAUGGAUACAAAUGGAAAGAAUCGAGGCAUUCACGCCAGUGAUUCAUCCCCCCUGUCUAGGGUCUGGUUCUCGGCUUUUUAGAUCAGGAGACUCAGGGAGCCCCUUCAAAGUAGAUACCCACUUCAAAAGUGGGUUCAUCUAUCUCCUGGAAAAUGCCCCACUCCCUUUGAUAGACUGUUCUGCUCAAAAACAUCUUCUGACUGAGCACAGUGGCUCACGCCUUUAAUUCCA
rnacentral:lncRNA from 1 species